rnacentral:tRNA from 1 species
UCCGACCGGACCCGGUUGCGGGUCUCCUAUUUCGCUGACUGUUAAUCAGCGGGUCGCUGGUUCGAGCCCAGCAGGCGGAGCCA